rfam:Secondary endosymbiont of Ctenarytaina eucalypti chromosome, complete genome.
GCAAAACUCAUCAUGUUCCUUGCUUCUAUGGGCUUCACUUGAUCCUAAAAAGAGGCUGCAUAAUCCAUAAGGAGCUUUUUUAUG